AAAUAUAAAAGAGAACUUACCUAUAUUUAAGUGUUUUCUUAUAUUUUUUACAUUUUUUGUACUUCUUAACUACUUUAUUAAGGUAUGGAUAUCAGGUAUAUGGUUGGGUAUGGAUUGGUUCUUUCGGAUAUCGAUUUUUUUUUUGUUUUGAAAUUAUUCUUUGUUUGGGUAUUAUAAAUUUUCGGGUGGGAUUCGAAUAAGGUCUUUUCAGAUCCGGGUGAGUUUGGUUUUUAUGUGUAGGAACAUAACAAUGAACAAAAGUUUAUAUAUUUAGGAAUGUCAUUAAACAAUUUAUAAAAAAAGUUAACAACAAAUAUCCGCGCGGACGCACAUGUCAAGCUUUAGUGUAUGUUAAACCAUAUUUCGAAAGUUCAUGUAUUGAAUUUAAAUUUUGUAUUAGUUGAUGUAUGUUUUUG
rnacentral:lncRNA from 1 species